rnacentral:rRNA from 1 species
AGAGUUUGAUCAUGGCUCAGGACGAACGCUGGCGGCGUGCCUAAUACAUGCAAGUCGAGCGGACAGAUGGGAGCUUGCUCCCUGAAGUCAGCGGCGGACGGGUGAGUAACACGUGGGCAACCUGCCUGUAAGACUGGGAUAACUUCGGGAAACCGGAGCUAAUACCGGAUAACACCGAGGACCUCAUGGUCCUUGGUUGAAAGAUGGCUUCGGCUAUCACUUACAGAUGGGCCCGCGGCGCAUUAGCUAGUUGGUGAGGUAACGGCUCACCAAGGCGACGAUGCGUAGCCGACCUGAGAGGGUGAUCGGCCACACUGGGACUGAGACACGGCCCAGACUCCUACGGGAGGCAGC